rnacentral:rRNA from 1 species
GGGAGCAAACAGGAUUAGAUACCCUGGUAGUCCACGCCGUAAACGAUGUCGACUUGGAGGUUGUGCCCUUGAGGCGUGGCUUCCGGAGCUAACGCGUUAAGUCGACCGCCUGGGGAGUACGGCCGCAAGGUUAAAACUCAAAUGAAUUGACGGGGGCCCGCACAAGCGGUGGAGCAUGUGGUUUAAUUCGAUGCAACGCGAAGAACCUUACCUGGUCUUGACAUCCACAGAACUUUCCAGAGAUGGAUUGGUGCCUUCGGGAACUGUGAGACAGGUGCUGCAUGGCUGUCGUCAGCUCGUGUUGUGAAAUGUUGGGUUAAGUCCCGCAACGAGCGCAACCCUUAUCCUUUGUUGCCAGCGGUCCGGCCGGGAACUCAAAGGAGACUGCCAGUGAU